rnacentral:rRNA from 1 species
UACGUAGGGACCGAGCGUUGUCCGGAUUCAUUGGGCGUAAAGAGCGUGUAGGCGGCCAGGUAGGUCGGUUGUGAAAACUGGAGGCUACAACCUUCAGAGGUCGACCGAAACCAUCUGGCUAGAGUCCGGGAGAGGAGAGUGGAAUUCCUGGUGUAGCGGUGAAAUGCGCAGAUAUCAGGAGGAACACCUAUUGCGAAGGCAGCUCGCUGGGACGUAACUGACGCUGAGACGCGAAAGCGUGGGGAGCAAACAGG